rnacentral:rRNA from 1 species
AUUGAACGCUGGCGGCAUGCCUUACACAUGCAAGUCGAACGGUAACAGGCCGCAAGGUGCUGACGAGUGGCGAACGGGUGAGUAAUGCAUCGGAACGUGCCCAGUCGUGGGGGAUAACUGCUCGAAAGAGCAGCUAAUACCGCAUACGACCUGAGGGUGAAAGGGGGGGAUCGCAAGACCUCUCGCUAUUGGAGCGGCCGAUAUCAGAUUAGCUAGUUGGUGGGGUAAAGGCCUACCAAGGCAACGAUCUGUAGUUGGUCUGAGAGGACGACCAGCCACACUGGGACUGAGACACGGGACAGACUCCUACGGGAGGCAGCAGUGGGGAAUUUUGGACAAUGGGCGCAAGCCUGAUCCAGCAAUGCCGCGUGCAGGAAGAAGGCCUUCGGGUUGUAAAUUGCUUUUGUCAGGGAAGAAAUCUUCUGGGCUAAUACCCCGGGAGGAUGACGGUACCUGAAGAAUAAGCACCGGCUAACUACGUGCCAGCCGCCGCCGUAAGAC